GGUCAGUACCCUGUCUAGCUUGACAGUAGUUUAUGAGGAUGAAGACUGUGGCACCGGAGUUUAAGCCCAACAUGAUCGGGGUGGACCUCAUCGAACGGUUCACGAAAUCCAGGAAUGGCAACAGCUGGUGUCUGACUGCGACCGAUCACUUUACCAAUUGGGUGGAGGCAAUACCCAUUAAGAUCAGUAAAGGAAGAGAACGUGCUUAACUCUAAAUUCCCUUCUGUAACCCAUUAAAAAUGGUGCUUGUAACCCAAAAUGUAUUUUCGUUUUGUAUGAUACCCAUCAAGGACAAGACUGGCGAGGCCACUUCCAAGGUGAUGAUGGACAUCUUCAACACCCAUGUUUCUCCUGAGGUCAUCUUGAGUGACCGAGGUCAUGAACGCUGGAAUAAGGUAUCGCUUUCCUACCCCCUCCCUCAUGUUUGGUGAAUGGACCAACCAGACCCUCAAGACUGCCAUGGGCAAGUCCCUUGACGGGUACCAGGAAUGGUGGGAGAACAACCUGAAGGUAAUUCUCUUUGCACACAACAGCAGCGUCCAGGCCUCCACCGAGGACAGACGGGAGCCGCAGCUGUUGACUGAGGUAAACAAUGCAAUUGUAUAUACAAUCAUUGCCUAUACUGUAGUCUUUCAAAUUUGUGAUUGACUUAGUGUUGUUGUUAGUCUAUUGCUAUUUUUGUAUAAGGUACUUUCAGAUCACUGAAACCCCACUUGAUGUGGUGGAAGAUGUCAAACCUGAUCAGAACGCCUUCGAGGACCACCUUCAGGCAUGGACUGAGAAGGAUGUGGAGGUUUUUGACCAGGUGAGACUGAACAUCGACAAGGCACAGGAGAAACAGAAGGAGAGCUACCGGAGCAGAAUCAAGAAGGGGAACAAGUGCUUCGACAUCCAGGCAAAUUACUUGGUUUGGAAGAAGGACGAAAGGAAGGCGAGACCUGGGAAACCUAGCUGCUCUUUCGCUCCUAGCUGGGGUGACCAUCUGUUAAGGGUUACCUCGGUGGAAGACAACAAUCUUCUUCAGUUGGAGCAGUUGGACGGUCAACCACUGAAAGCCCUGACGCCCUACACUUCAGUGAAGCCCAAUAGACAAAGACCAUCGACUGUCCGAGCCCCCCAGGAGGUAUCCCAUCCGACUGAGCCAGUGAGUUUGGAUUAGUCUGAUUCUCUGUGCUCUGAGUCGGAGGGGGACCAGCUUGAGAUGUGGAUCCACCUGCUGUCCUCCAUUACCAACCAUCCUCCAACUUUUCAUUACAUCAUCUACAGCUACUGUUAUUGUCAUGUUGUCAUUAUCUGCUAAGAACAUUUUCUUGCUCUAUCAUACUGGGCACGUAAUAUGUGAGAUACACAGAUUAACUAAAAACACUAGCACUGCAAACACUCAGAACAAAGAGAGCAGCAGUGCCUGGACUUUGCAGUCUCCCGCUUCAAGUCCCCCUUUCGAGACUGGCUGCCUGUUGAGAACAAGUGACAGGCAGAACCUCCCACCCACACAGCAACCACCUCCUCUAUAUUCCACACACCAGAAUUCAGUAUUUUAGUCUUUGAUUGCCAUGUCAGUGUACAAAAAAUCUGUGAAAAUAAAUGAAUGACACAACUGUACCAAAAUUCUUAAAUAAUGGCAGGUUGGUUUUCACAGCUGUUUCAUAAGGUGUAAAUUAUUGUAAGUUGUAAGGUAUCCUUUGAUGGUAUUUAUUUGUUCCACAUUAUUCAUUGUUGUAUUCUACGACCUACAAUAGAUGCAUAUAUAUCAACCUCAAGUGUGUACUAAUGAGCUAUGCGAGACAGAAAAAAAUGAAUCAUAAUAGAGGACUACUGAACUUGUAUUAUUUCAGUGUAGAUAAGGGAAGUGGAGGUUAAAAUAAAAACAUCACAGCCAGACAAGCCAGUGUAUGAAUCAAACGGAUUUGCAUAUGAAUGGAGGGGAAAUUAGCUGACUUUGUGAUCUGUAAUGUAAGUAACUUGAAUGUGUCAAGCAGAUUACACGUUUUCUUUGCUAUUUCCGAAACGUAGCAACGUUUAAGACAUGGAUUUCAUGUUGUAAUGUUAACAAGGUACCCAAAAGUAGUUUGAAGUAAUGUUUUCAUUUUAUUAGCUAAAGAAAACUUGUUUAAACAGCGAAAUUGUCGCGGAAAUCAGCCUUGUUUGCAUAGCGAUGAUGAGAAAACGUAACAUAGGCUGUAAUGAUCUCCAAAAUGUGACUCAUUAGGUCAUCACACCGUUGAUAUAGCAACGGACGCUAAUAGUUUAUCGAAUCCCAUUGUGACGCAGAGGGGACACUUUUUGGCUGGGGGACAUUAUUUGGCAUGACAGGCCCUGCCCGGUCGUUAUUAGGCCAUGAUUACUACAAGUUUAGAUAGCUGGCUAGACUAACUUACCAAUAAAAAAAUUGUUAGCUGACAUGGCUAAUUGAGUGACUGUAUAGAACACUCCUAAGUUAGCUCAAUGGUAAGUUUGAAGCAUCAGUUAUUCUCUAAAUGUAUCUAUACUGUGACGACCCUCCCACUCUGUCUGCCGUAUUCUCUCUCUUUGCUCUUGUUUC